CAGAGGUCUCAGUUAGGAGAACCCUAACUGGGUGGGACCUCAAAAACUCCAUGCCUGGGAGAAUUGAAAUCUCUGUCAGCCCCAGAACACCAGCGAGGGUGGCUGCAGGCCCCGGUUGGGGGGGUUCCUCACUGGGCAAGACCCCGAGACCUCCGUGCCAGGGAGAAUUCAGAUCUCUGUCAGCCCCAGAACACCAGUGGGGUUGGCUGGAGACCCCAGCUAAAAGGACCCUCAUUGGGUAGGACCUCAAGAACUAAGUGCCAGGGAGAAUUCGAAUCUCUGUCAGCCUGAGAACACCAGGGGUGGGUGGCUGGAGGCCUGAAUUGAAAAGACCCACAGCGGACAGGAAGUGGAGACCUCCAUGUCAGGAAGAGUUCAAAUCUCUGUCAGCAUGAGAACACAGGUGAGGGUGGCCGGAGGCCCCAGUUAGGAGAACCCUUACUGGGCGGGACUUCAAGAACCAAGAACUGCAUACCUGGGAGAAUUCAAAUCUCUGUCAGCCCCAGAACACUGGCGGGGGUGGCUGGAGGCCCCAGUUGGGAGAUCCCUCACUGGGCAGGACCUAAAGACCUCCGUGCCAGGGAGAAUUCAGAUCUCUGUCAGCCCUGGAACACCAGCGAGGUGCUCUACCAAAAUGUGGCCAUACUGGGUCUUUAAGAAGGUCUGUGAUCCAUUCCUCCUCACUGGGCGGGACCUCCCAACCAGGGCCUCCAGCCACCCCCACCAGUGUUCUCGGGCUGGCAGAGAUUUGAAUUCUCCCUGGCAUGGAGGUCUGGAGGUCCUGCCCAGUGAGGCACCUCCCAACCGGGGCCUCCAGCCACCCCCACCAGUGUUCUGGGGCUGACAGAGAUUUGAAUUCUCCCUGGCAUGGAGUUCUGGAGGUCCUGCCCAGUGAGGCACCUCCCAACCGGGGCCUCCAGCCACCCCCGCCAGCGUUCUGGGGCUGACA
rnacentral:lncRNA from 1 species